rnacentral:rRNA from 1 species
GACGAACGCUGGCGGCGUGCUUAACACAUGCAAGUCGAACGCUGAAGCUCAGCUUUUGUUGGGUGGAUGAGUGGCGAACGGGUGAGUAACACGUGAGUAACCUGUCCCCUUCUUUGGGAUAACGCCCGGAAACGGGUGCUAAUACUGGAUAUUCACUGGUCUUCGCAUGGGGGUUGGUGGAAAGGGUUUUUCUGGUGGGGGAUGGGCUCGCGGCCUAUCAGCUUGUUGGUGGGGUGAUGGCCUACCAAGGCUUUGACGGGUAGCCGGCCUGAGAGGGUGACCGGUCACAUUGGGACUGAGAUACGGCCCAGACUCCUACGGGAGGCAGCAGUGGGGAAUAUUGCACAAUGGGCGCAAGCCUGAUGCAGCGACGCCGCGUGAGGGAUGGAGGCCGUCGGGUUGUGAACCUCUUUCGCUCAUGGUCAAGCCGCAACAAUGGUUGUGGUGAGGGUAGUGGGUAAAGAAGCGCCGGCUAACUACGUG